GAUGAACGCUGGCGGCGUGCCUAAUACAUGCAAGUCGAACGAAACUUCUUUAUCACCGAGUGCUUGCACUCACCGAUAAAGAGUUGAGUGGCGAACGGUUGAGUAACACGUGGGCAACCUGCCCAAAAGAGGGGGAUAACACUUGGAAACAGGCGCUAAUACCGCAUAACCAUAGUUACCGCAUGGUAACUAUGUAAAAGGUGGCUAUACUACCGCUUUUGGAUGGGCCCGCGGCGCAUUAGCUAGUUGGUAGGGUAAAGGCUUACCAAGGCAAUGAUGCGUAGCCGAAUUGAGAGGUUGAUCGGCCACAUUGGGACUGAGACACGGCCCAAACUCCUACGGGAGGCAGCAGUAGGGAAUCUUCCACAAUGGGCGAAAGCCUGAUGGAGCAACGCCGCGUGGGUGAAGAAGGUCUUCGGAUCGUAAAACCCUGUUGUUAGAGAAGAAAGUGCGUGAGAGUAACUGUUCACGUUUCGACGGUAUCUAACCAGAAAGCCACGGCUAACUACGUG
rnacentral:rRNA from 1 species